CUGCUGCAAUUUUGUUGUCUUAAAAAUACUUUGAAACCACCACAACACUCAAUCCUCCGAACACGGUAACCAUUAACGUUUUAUCCUAAUACUGUUCCAUGAGUUUUGGUGUUUUGUGAGAGCUUUCUGCAGGAUGACUCCAAGAGCCAGCUUACCUAGGAAUCUUCAUCUUCAUCACUUGAAGCAACACUUGCUCUUAUAAGCAUGAGCCCCUCCAUGAGGACCACUCAGCUUCAACGAGGGAGAAAGAGAAUAAAGCUAAAGAGCUAGAGCUAGAAAAGAGAGAAGCAAAAGAGACAGAAGCGAGAUGAAAGAAGGCACGUGCGGCAUCAUCAUGAAAUGGGUAGUUGACUGAGGUUACCUCAGACGAUGAACCCAUUGAGUAAGUGUUCUCUUCUAUCUAAGCCCUGUCGGUAGACUUUAAAUUAUGUACCCUAGCAAUAAGGUUAGAAUGGUAGUUAUCUCUUUCAAUGCAAUUGUAAUUUAUUUAUAGCAUAAUUUUGUUUACACACUAAUUGAUAUAAAAACAACAAAAAUAUUUAUUGUAUUACUCAUGGCAUCACAAGCCCCAUGUGGAUAGCCUAUGGUAUUUUCUAAAGGAACAUCUGCUGUGGUGGCAUAAAAUAAAAAUGACAAAAAUAUAGCAUUUAAAUUCUUGCAUCAUAAAUAGAAAAUUAAAAAAUAAGAGAAAAUUGAAAUCCUCUUUAAAUUAGACAACAUUAACGCUAGCUCUUAAAGGUGAUCAAUUAUUCUUUGGCUGACCGCUAACCCAUUAACAAAUUCGAACCUCAAGUUUUGGUUUUCUUUUCGGAGUAGUUUUUCUUUAGGGAAAGAUAAUAAGAUUCCUCCCUAUGCUCUGAUUGAUUAUUUGUCUUAUGAUCUAUCUAAGAACAAUACCAAAGUGUUUCAAAGGAGGAUUACCUUGACUUAGGUGUGCCUCCGGCCUAAAUUAAAUCAACCUAAGUGAAAUGGAGUCUCUAUUGUUCCGCUGCAAGAGUUUACUAUGAGAUUUCAUAGACUUUAAAGUAAAUUAUGACAAGGAGAGAGAGUCUAUUAGUAGCACCCACUUGGAGCGCUGCCGGUUAGCUCACUCCAAAGAUCAUCAACACCAACUAUUUCAAACAUCUAGCUUGGGGAGGAGCAUCCCCUAGUUAUCAGCUAGCUAUACCUAGGUGAUUAUCGAGUCUAUUUUAUAUAGUCAUAAAAUACCAAAAAAAUAUGUGAGCACAUGAAGGUUCAAAAAAGUAUCAGAAGAAAAUGUAAAAAUACCAAAAAAAUACAUGGGCACAUGAAGGUCCAUAUCUUUAGAGUCUUCUGAGUCCAAUAGAAAUGAAUAAAAAUCAAACAAAAUACUUAUCUAUAUAUUAAGGUGUGAUCAUAGAGUAUGUCUAUAGUUAGUCUAGUUUAGAGUCAAAUAAAACUAAGAGAACAUUAAAAUUUUGUCUUGAUGAUGAAUAGUUGCUCUACAGUAAUUCCUUUCAAGUGUCUAGUUUUCAACCAAGAAUUCUCCUGAGUUUUAGACAUGACCACUUUGAUAAUUUACUUUGAACCUAAAAUUUGUGGAGGCAUAUGCUUGAGCUAAAUCUAGGUAACUGAUUGAUAUGAUACAUAAAGGUCUAAGUUGCUAUUUAUCUUAUUCCUAGUAUUACUAAGUUUUGGAGAUUUAUUUUGAAAACCCAAAACCUUACAUGAUGAGAUCUUGUAUGAUAAAGUUAAUUCCUACUAAAGCCAUAUAUGAUACAUUUAGAGUUAGGAAAACCUUUGCAUAUUCAUGCUGCUUUCCUUACAUUGAGUUUAGUCAACCUUUGGAGUAUACCUUAUGAGAGUCUUGUCAUGCUUUUAAAAUCAAGAUCACUUAUGCACUCCACCCACAUAUGCAUUACUCCUACUCAGGGAUGUAAGCGCAUUCAUUUCCACUUUCAUCCAUAUCCACCUUAAAAAUAUUUUCUCCUACACUGGGAGUAAACAUAAAAAAAAUAAUAUACCCUACAGGACAGCCCCCACUUAAUUGCUCUAAGUUCUUAUCAUUAUCUCUCUAAUUAUUUAUAUUCAAAAGAUGCAUGUGGCUAUGCAAAAGUAUUUAAAAAGAAAAAGAAAAAAAGGGAGUAAAAGAUAGACAAGUGUCCCAACAAUUAAAACAAUGGGUACAUCAAUGCCCGCCUCCCAUAGUAAUAAGAGAGAGAGAGAGAGAGAAUAAAUAUAUCCCAUGUUUUCUUGUGAAAAGUUUUAAGGAGGGAGUAAUUUUCAAAGAGCAAAAGUAGAAUUAGGAUUAGCCACUAAAUACUAUAUGUACACCUAUCCACCAUAUUCCAUACACACGCACAUCUUGAUUUGAUUGUAUGCCUUGAUUCUCUGUAGAUCCAUUGUUUGACUUUACAAUAUAUGAAUUGCAAGUAUGUUCAUCCUUGUUAUUGCCACUCCUAUAAGCUCCACUAUAUAUACCCUUAGUUGUAGGAAGGCAUAACCUCAUUAAUGCCUCAGUGAGAUCCAUAAAUACUACAUAAUAAGAGCCUUGAGGGUGUCAUACAAUUAAGCUCUGAGUUUUAUUUCAAAAACUCAUAAAACUCAGAAAUAUUGGUAUUGUGAAGAAUUUGAGACAUAGUGCUUAACUUGAUUGUUCUAUCUUUCGAUUACUCAAGACUUAUGCAAAAGCCAUUAAGCUCCAUGGUUAAAGGUAAAAUGGGUAAGUUUGAAAGUUAGUCUGGAGGAAAAUUUAUGUGUGCUUAAAAGAAAUAAAAGUAUUGUAGCAACUCCUGAUCCAAGUUAAUUAAUAAUUACGCUUGGGUUGUUUGCCAAGGGACUGGCAAAAAGUAAGCUUGGGGAUAUUGUUGACGGUCGAUGACGUCAACUUUUAUUAGAACUUUAGACCCAAAGAAGAACAUGAAAACACACUAGUCUAGGGUUUAAACUAAUAGUUUCCACGAGUUUUGCAUAUUCAGUAUUUUUCGGGGUUUAUUUCAUAGAGAGCUAAGAGGGAUUCAAGUGCAAAAUAAACACAAAACUUAACCGCGAUGCAACAACACCGCGAACGGGGUCAGGAAUCCUCUAGAAGACACCUGAAGGAACGAGACCCGUAGAAGAGGCAAGGUGGGGCCGGCCAGCGCCCCCUAGGGAUUCUGGCCGUCGCCUUUUGGAAGCUUCCUCCACCGCCUCUCUUGAUGCAUCUCGACCCUUGGUUAAGUCGGUUUGAUCCUACGGCACACACUAAUCCCACCGGGCUAUAAAUAAAGGGGCAGACCCCCCUCCAUGGAGGCAUUCUACAGCACGGUGCUUUAUAUUCUCUACAUAAUUAGGGUUAGGGUCGCUCUAGUUGAUUUAGUUCUAGUUCAUCUAGAUGUAGCAAUUAGGAGAGACUAGUUCUUCUAGAUCUAGUCUUGUUUAGAGAUUAGAGAGAUUGAGUAGAGGAGUAGAGAUUCUGGAGGAGUUCCGGCCUGUCGGUGCUUCUUCUUGGCUGUAUUCGUCUGGAUCAAGUUCCCUCGCCCGGAGCUACGUUCUGAGGUACUUUUGUACUUACCAUUCAGAUUUAUGUAAGCAACUUGUUCUUAUUCGUUCUUUGGUUCACAACUCAUAUUGAGUGCUUUGAUCUAUGGACGC
rnacentral:lncRNA from 1 species